AUGACGGCGACGGCGGUGGCGGCAUUCCCGCCGCACGCCUCCAUCUGCUCCCUCAUCUCCUUCCUCGGCCACCACCUCGCCGCGCUCCUCGCCGACCCGGCCGACCUCCUCGCCACGCGGCGCCGCUGCGUGGCGCUGCUCGCGGGGCCUUCCCCGCGCCCGGCCUCCUCGGCCGACGGCGACGACGAUGACGACGACGACGCCGUCCUCGCCGCGCUCCAGGGCGCCAUCGACUCGUUCCCGACGGCGGCCUCUGCGGACGCGGGGCUCCUCCGCGACGUCGAGGCGGCGCUGCAGGCGCCCGCGCUGCUGCCGGAGGACGGGCGGACGGCGGGGCGGGGCAACCGGGUCGUGGCCGCGUGCGCCUACUUCUACCUGGCCCUGGUGCGGGCGGCGCAGGGGGACGCGUGGCAGAUGGCCGCGCACUUCCUGCAGGCCGUGCUCGUCUCCCCCGCCGCGCUGGCCGGCCGCGGCGGGCUCGCGCCCCGCGCGCUCUGGGACGGCCUGUUCGACGAGGCCGUCCUCGCGCGCGCCGGCGGCGCCGGCGCCAGCGAGGACGACGCGGCGCGCCGGGCCGCCCGGCGGUACAAGGACUGGCUCAUGUACUACCGGGUCGUGGCCGCCGCGCCCGACGGCGCCGGCGCCGCCUCGGCCGACGGUGGCGGGUGA
rnacentral:rRNA from 1 species